rnacentral:rRNA from 1 species
UACGAGAGGGCCCAAACGUUAUUCGGAUUUACGUGGCUUAAAGAGUUGUAGCGGCGCGAAAAGUGGGGUGUGAAAGCCUCGGCGUUAACCAGAGGAAUUGCGCUCCAAACCUAACCCCGGUGCUUGAGGGAAGCUGAGAGGUGGAAGUCCUGAGAACUGAUGGUGGAGGACGGUGAAAUGUCGUUGAUAUCCUGAAGGAACACCGGUGGCGAAAGCGGCUCACUGGACCGUCUUCUAACGCUGAG